UUAACAGGAUUAGAUACCCUGGUAGUCCACGCCCUAAACGAUGCGAACUGGAUGUUGGGUGCAAUUUGGCACGCAGUAUCGAAGCUAACGCGUUAAGUUCGCCGCCUGGGGAGUACGGUCGCAAGACUGAAACUCAAAGGAAUUGACGGGGGCCCGCACAAGCGGUGGAGUAUGUGGUUUAAUUCGAUGCAACGCGAAGAACCUUACCUGGCCUUGACAUGUCGAGAACUUUCCAGAGAUGGAUGGGUGCCUUCGGGAACUCGAACACAGGUGCUGCAUGGCUGUCGUCAGCUCGUGUCGUGAGAUGUUGGGUUAAGUCCCGCAACGAGCGCAACCCUUGUCCUUAGUUGCCAGCACGUAAUGGUGGGAACUCUAAGGAGACCGCCGGUGACAAACCGGAGGAAGGUGGGGAUGACG
rnacentral:rRNA from 1 species